GAAAAAAUUAUGAGCUUUAUGAUCCAAAAAAACAUUAGAAUAUCAUGGGUUCGUUAAGGUGCUGCUUGAGUUUUAUUGCCCUCCUUUAAAUAAAGGAUCAUCAACUUCGUUUCUCUGAGACUUGUGCCCACAGAGUCUUCUCUUCUUCAUCCGAGUUUCUUCUAUUUCAGGUGAGAACAAAAAAAAUGGCGUUUGAGACCACUGCGGAAGUUUGUGAUGCGAAUCAAGAGAUGAUUCAUAGUGGCCAGCUCCGAGCUCUGCAACCCGUUUCACCUAAAAAAUUCAAAAGAUAAUCAUGUACUCCGAUCAUCAUGUACUGCAUCAUGUACUCCGAUCACCCAAAUCUAUACUCUUCUUUUCUUUCC